CUAGAUGUAGUGUCAAAUGGUAGACGGCUGGUCUUGGAUACCAGAGGUUAAAGGUUCAAGUCCUUUCAUCUAGA
rnacentral:tRNA from 1 species